rnacentral:rRNA from 1 species
AAGUAAGCGGAGGACAAGAAACUAAACAGGAUCCCCAUAGUAAUGGCGAAUGAACCGGGAUAAACUCAGCAUGGAAAUUGGGGCCUUUGGCUUUGACUUGUAAUCUGGUGAGGCAUUGCCAACAGAGGCGCAUAUGUAAGUCUCUUGGAAAAGAGCAUCAACGAAGGUGAGAGUCCUGAUUGUCAUGUGCAGCCCCCCUGUGCACGGUGUGCCUUCUAAGAGUCACGUUCCUUGGGAUUGGAGCGCAAAUUGGGUGGUAACUUUCAUCUGAAGUUAAACAAGGGUUUGGGACCGAUAGGAAACAAGUACCAUGAGGGAAAGGUGAAAAGGACUUUGGAAAGAGAGUUAAAAGUGCCUGAAAUUGCUGAAGGGGAAGCGAAUGGAACCAGUAGUGCUGGGUGAGAUUGUCACAUGCUACAAGGAUUGGUUGCUGCCACAACGCAAGUGUGAUGGCAAUUUGUGAAUUGCUAGUGUGUGGUGUGUCUUACCUAGUGGGUCAUUGUGGGUUUAUGCAUUAAGAUAAGUCAAAGCAAGCGGGAGCAAGUUUACGAGUUUGUGAAUGUGUGUUGUUAUGCUUGUGCGUAAGCUUUAAGGUUUGUCUGGCUGCAGGGCUGUCCAUCCUCGAGCUGAGGGUUGCGAUGAGCAUAACCUUCUGCGCAGAUCUUGACGAAAUGGUUCAUUC